rnacentral:lncRNA from 1 species
UCCAAAAAUUUUCAUAGAUACCAGAAAGUUAUUUUUUCAUUUAUCCACCAAGAGUGUUGAAAAUUGAUUAUAUAUAGUGGCCUAAACUAUUAUUCUUGUCAAAUUAUGCAAGUACAAUUUAUUAUUAUAAAUUAUGUAUUAUUCAGAAAAUUUUCAAAAUGAUAAUAACCUGUUAUUAUGUUGUAUAAUUUUUUUUUUGGCACCUAUACUAUGUGUUUUAC